CCGGGUAAGCCCGAUGCGGUCCAUGAUCCGGCCACCAGGCCCAGGUGGGCCGCGUCGACAUCAACUGGAGGCCCGAAACCAGGAUCUGUUGAAAAAGAUUUGGAUGACUUGUGGAUCGGAGUGAAAGGCUAAUCAAGCUCGGAGAUAGCUGGUUCUCCUCGAAAGCUAUUUAGGUAGCGCCUCACGUAUUACCGCCGGGGGUAGAGCACUGUUUCGGCUAGGGGGGUCAUCCCUACUUACCAACCCGAGGCAAACUCCGAAUACCGGUGAGUAGAGCGUGGGAGACACACGGCGAGUGCUAACGUCCGUCGUGAAAAGGGAAACAACCCCAGACCGUCAGCUAAGGUCCCCGAAAUCCUGGUUAAGUGGGAAACGAUGUGGGAAGGCUCAGACAGCUAGGAGGUUGGCUUAGAAGCAGCCAUCCUUUAAAGAAAGCGUAAUAGCUCACUAGUCGAGUCGGCCUGCGCGGAAGAUGUAACGGGGCUAAACCAGGUACCGAAGCUACGGGUUCAUUCUUAGGAAUGAGCGGUAGAGGAGCGUCGUGUAAGCCAAUGAAGGUGGAUUGAGAAG
rnacentral:rRNA from 1 species